UACGUAGGGUGCGAGCGUUAAUCGGAAUUACUGGGCGUAAAGCGUGCGCAGGCGGUUUUGUAAGACAGAUGUGAAAUCCCCGGGCUUAACCUGGGAACUGCAUUUGUGACUGUAAGACUAGAGUGCGGCAGAGGGGGGUAGAAUUCCACGUGUAGCAGUGAAAUGCGUAGAUAUGUGGAGGAAUACCGAUGGCGAAGGCAGCCCCCUGGGUCGACACUGACGCUCAUGCACGAAAGCGUGGGGAGCAAACAGG
rnacentral:rRNA from 1 species